rnacentral:tRNA from 1 species
GCCUUCGUGGUGUAGUGGUCAGCACGCUCGACGCAUAACCGAGAGAUCGACGCGUAACCGAGAGGUACGUGGUUCGAUUCCCGGCGAAGGCG